AUGAAUGAUAUGGGCCUGGAUGGCGUUUCAUACAUUAUUGUUGAUGAAGCUCAUGAAAGAAGCUUGAACACCGAUCUUCUCUUAGCUUUGGUAAAGAAGAAGCUGCUUGAUAGGGUGGAUUUGCGACUCAUUAUAAUGUCUGCCACUGCUGAUGCUAAUAGACUAGCUGAAUACUUUUAUGGCUGUCAAACAUUCCAUGUUAAAGGGCGAAAUUUUCCUAUUGAAAUUAAAUAUAUCCCAGAUGUAUCAGUGGAUGCUUCCUUCAAUACUGUACCGAACUCUCUGAAUGAUGCUUUUGCUACUGCUGCUUAUGUCAAUGAUGUUGUAAGGGUGGUAAGUGUGAUUCACAAGAAUGAAGAAGAGGGUGCCAUACUUGCUUUUUUGACAUCUCAACUGGAAGUUGAGUGGGCCUGUGAAAACUUCAGCGAUGCAAGUGCUGUGGUACUUCCUAUGCAUGGAAAGCUUUCCCAUGUAGAACAGAGUCGUGUUUUCAACAGCUAUCCCGGUAAGAGAAAGGUUAUCUUCUGCACGAAUAUGGCUGAAACAUCACUGACCAUCAAAGAAGUGAAGUAUGUUGUUGAUCCUGGACUGGCCAAGGAGAGCAGAUUUGUGCCUAGCAGUGGUCUCAAUGUGCUGAAAGUAAAUUGGAUUUCCCAAAGUUCCGCUAGUCAACGUGCUGGCCGGGCUGGUCGAACAGGAGCAGGGAAGUGUUACAGGCUUUACUCUGAAUCUCACUUCAGAAUGAUGGAAGUGCAUCAAGAACCUGAAAUCCGGAAAGUUCAUCUUGGCACUGCUGUUCUGAGAAUACUUGCUUUGGGUGUUAGGGAUGCACAGAAUUUUGAGUUUGUUGAUGCCCCAAAUCCAGACGCAAUCAAUAUGGCUUUGAAGAACCUUGAACAAUUGGGUGCUGUCAAAUGUAAAUGUAAUUUGUUUGAGCUGACUGAUACUGGACGCUACCUGGUCAAAUUGGGAAUUGAGCCAAGGCUUGGUAAAAUUAUGCUUGAUUGCUUUGAUUCUGGUUUGAGAAGGGAAGGUGUAAUUCUAGCUGCUGUUAUGGCAAAUUCUAGCAGCAUAUUUUGUAGAGUGGGCACUAAUGAGGAGAAACAUAAAGCUGACCUUCAGAAGGUCCGAUUGUGUCACCAAGAUGGAGAUCUCUUCACUUUACUCGCUGUUUAUAAAAAGUGGGAGGAUGGGCAUGGAAACAGGAAUAUGUGGUGCUGGCAGAACAGCAUCAACGCCAAGACCAUGAGGAGGUGCCAGGAAACUAUAUCAGAGCUUGAAAAUUGUCUAAAGCAUGAACUCAACAUUAUUGUCCCAAGUUAUUGGUGUUGGAAUCCUGAGAUUUCCUCUAUGCAUGAUAAGCUGCUAAAGAGAAUUAUUCUAUCAUCUCUUACAGGCAAUCUUGCUAUGUUUUUAGGACAUGAAAAGUUUGGUUACCAGGUGAUUUCGACAGAUCAGGCUGUGAACCUUCAUCCCUCAUGCUCAUUGCUCAAUUAUGGCAGCAAGCCAGAGUGGGUGGUGUUUACAGAAAUCUUAUCAAUCCCAAAUCAGUAUUUGGUAUGUGUAACUGCUGUUGAUCAUGAUGCGUUGUAUGCAGUUCAUUCCAUGUCCUUCAUUCAUCAACUGGAGAAACAUAAACUGCAGAUAAAAGUGAUUAGUGGGCUUGGUAAUAAUUUGCUGCGAAGAUUUUGUGGCAAAUAUGGCCAAAAUCAACACAGGAUUAUCUCACAUCUCAAGGAAGAAUGCAGGGAUGACCGAAUAACAGUCGAAAUUAACUUCAAAAACAAUGAAGUUGUGUUAUUUGCUACAAGGCAGGACAUAGAAAAGGUCUUUUGUAUUGUUAACGGUGCUUUGGAGUGUGAAGCUAAGAUGUUGAGGAAUGAGUGCCUCGAGAGAAGAUUAUUUCCUGGGAGGCCUGGCAGUUCUCCUCUUGCAUUGUUUGGCUCAGGUGCUGAAAUCAAGCAUUUGGAACUUGGGAAGAGGUAUCUAACAGUAGAGGUUCUCCAUCAAAAUGCCCAUGGUAUCAAUGACAAGGAGCUUAUUUUUUUGGUGGGCAGUCUGACCUCUGGUGUCGCUAAUUUUCAUAAAUCAGCUGGGAACUUUCGGAUAGCCUCAGAUGAAACUAAAUGGGGGAAGUUUACAUUCCUCAAACCUGAAGAUGCUGAAGACGCUGUGUUAAAAUUGAACGGAAUAGAAUUUCAUGGUUCCUCAUUAAAAGUGGUUCCAGUAUGUUCUUCUGAUAAUCGAGGAUUACCAUUUCCUGCAGUAAGAGCUAGACUAUCAUGGCCAUGUAACCCAAGCAGGGGGCAUGCAUUUGGGACCCGUUUGCUCAGGCUCAGGGAAGCACCCAUAGUUGGCCCUUCUGUUUCUGCAUGUGAAGAAGCGCUGAUUAGAGAAAUUUCUUCGUUCAUGCCAAACAAGAUUCCUGGACAAAAUUUCCGUGUUGAAGUCUUCCCUCCAGAGGAAAACAAUUCAAUGAUGAGAGCAACUAUAACUUUUGAUGGAAGUCUUCAUCGAGAGGCUGCAAGAGCGCUGGACCAUCUUGAAGGAAGCUUUCUUCCUUGUUGUCAACCUUGGCAGAUGAUACGGUGCAAGCAUGUAUUUCAUAGUACUCUGUCCUGCCCACUACAUGUUUACAAUGUUAUCAGCCAGGAAGUUAAUUCUCUGCUUGAGAGCUUCCGAAGCCAGAAAGGUGUGGUUUACAAUUUCGAAAAGACUGAUAAUGGUAUUUUCCGGUUAAAGCUCACUGCAAAUGCCACAAAAACAAUAGCUGAUUUGAGAAGGCCUCUUGAGAUUUUGAUGAAAGGCAACACUAUAAACCACCCUGACCUGACAAUAAGUGCAGUUCAGCUACUUUUGUCCCAUGAUGGUGUAGCACAUUUGAAAUCUAUUGAACAAGAAACUGGUACUUACAUUCUGUACGACAGACAAAGUCUGAAUAUUAAAGUCUUUGGGCACCAAGAUCAGAUAGCUACAGCAGAGACAAAAUUGGUGCACGCACUUACAGAGCUCCUUGAGAAGAUGCCCCUGGAAAUUAGUCUUCGUGGCCAUAACCUCCCUCCAGACAUGAUGAAGAAAACAGUAGAGAACUUUGGAGUUGAUCUGGAAGGAUUUAAGAAAGAAAUGCCUGCAGUAAAUGUUGAGUUAAAUAAACAGCGACAUCUACUUAAAGUUUGGGGCAGUAAAGAGGAUAAGCGAAGGGUUGAAGGGAUGAUCUCUGAGCUGAUAACCUCUGUUAAACAGAAUGCCCUGGUUCAACUUCCGUCUGGGAGUGUUGGAGGAAGUAAGGAUAAGGAAAGGGUGGAUGACAGUGAGCUGGCGCAGGAUGCAUGCCCUAUUUGCUUGUGUGAGACUGAAGACCCUUUUGAGCUUGAAUCAUGUGGGCACAUAUUUUGUCGGGCUUGCUUAGUGGAUCAGUGUGAAUCUGCCAUGAAAUCUCAUGAUGGCUUCCCUGUUUGCUGCCUGAAAACUGGGUGCAAGAAGCCCUUCCUCAUAGUUGAUUUGAAGCACCUGGUGUCUAAUGAGAAGCUGGAGGACCUAUUCAGAGCUUCGUUGAGGGCAUUUGUUACAUCUAGAGCAGGAAUGUAUCGCUUCUGCUCGACACCUGAUUGCCAAUCCAUCUACCAAGUGGCAGCUCCAGAUGCAGAGACCAAGCCUUUUGUCUGCGGGGCUUGCUAUGUCGAGAUCUGCACCAAGUGCCAUGUCGAGUAUCAUCCUUUCAUGUCCUGCGAGGCUUACAAGCAAUACAAGGAAGACCCAGACGCGACGCUGCUUGAAUGGCGCAGAGGGAAGGUGAAUGUGAAGAACUGCCCUUCGUGUGGGUACACGAUCGAGAAAUCUGAGGGUUGCAACCAUGUCGAGUGCAGGUGCGGCAGCCACAUUUGCUGGGCAUGCUUGGCGAACUUCAGGAGCAGCGAGGAGUGUUAUGGCCAUCUCAGGUCUGCGCACCAAUCCUUUGUGGACAUUGUGUAG
rnacentral:rRNA from 1 species